AGUGAACGCUGGCGGUAGGCCUAACACAUGCAAGUCGAACGGCAGCACAGUAAGAGCUUGCUCUUACGGGUGGCGAGUGGCGGACGGGUGAGGAAUACAUCGGAAUCUACUUUUUCGUGGGGGAUAACGUAGGGAAACUUACGCUAAUACCGCAUACGACCUACGGGUGAAAGCAGGGGAUCUUCGGACCUUGCGCGAUUGAAUGAGCCGAUGUCGGAUUAGCUAGUUGGCGGGGUAAAGGCCCACCAAGGCGACGAUCCGUAGCUGGUCUGAGAGGAUGAUCAGCCACACUGGAACUGGGACACGGUCCAGACUCCUACGGGAGGCAGCAGUGGGGAAUAUUGGACAAUGGGCGCAAGCCUGAUCCAGCCAUACCGCGUGGGUGAAGAAGGCCUUCGGGUUGUAAAGCCCUUUUGUUGGGAAGGAAAAGCAGCAGGUUAAUACCCCGCUGUUCUGACGGUACCCAAAGAAUAAGCACCGGCUAACUUCGUG
rnacentral:rRNA from 1 species